GGUUACAGUGACAUACAGAGGGACCCUGUCCUACUCGUGCUGGAGGUUACAGUGACAUACAGAGGGACCCUGUCCUACUCGUGCUGGAGGUUACAGUGACAUACAGAGGGACCCUGUCCUACUCAUGCUGGAGGUUACAGUGACAUACAGAGGGACCCUG